rnacentral:rRNA from 1 species
GACGAACGCUGGCGGCGUGCUUAACACAUGCAAGUCGAACGGAAAGGCCCUGCUUUUGUGGGGUGCUCGAGUGGCGAACGGGUGAGUAACACGUGAGUAACCUGCCCUUGACUUUGGGAUAACUUCAGGAAACUGGGGCUAAUACCGGAUAGGAGCUCCUGCUGCAUGGUGGGGGUUGGAAAGUUUCGGCGGUUGGGGAUGGACUCGCGGCUUAUCAGCUUGUUGGUGGGGUAGUGGCUUACCAAGGCUUUGACGGGUAGCCGGCCUGAGAGGGUGACCGGCCACAUUGGGACUGAGAUACGGCCCAGACUCCUACGGGAGGCAGCAGUGGGGAAUAUUGCACAAUGGGCGGAAGCCUGAUGCAGCAACGCCGCGUGCGGGAUGACGGCCUUCGGGUUGUAAACCGCUUUCGCCUGUGACGAAGCGUGAGUGACGGUAAUGGGUAAAGAAGCACCGGCUAACUACGUGCCAGCAGCCGCGGUGAUACGUAGGGUGCGAGCGUUGUCCGGAUUUAUUGGGCGUGAAGGGCUCGUAGGUGGUUGAUCGCGUCGGAAGUGUAAUCUUGGGGCUUAACCCUGAGCGUGCUUUCGAUACGGGUUGACUUGAGGAAGGUAGGGGAGAAUGGAAUUCCUGGUGGAGCGGUGGAAUGCGCAGAUAUCAGGAGGAACACCAGUGGCGAAGGCGGUUCUCUGGGCCUUUCCUGACGCUGAGGAGCGAAAGCGUGGGGAGCGAACAGGCUUAGAUACCCUGGUAGUCCACGCUGUAAACGGUGGGUACUAGGUGUGGGGUCCAUUCCACGGGUUCCGUGCCGUAGCUAACGCUUUAAGUACCCCGCCUGGGGAGUACGGCCGCAAGGCUAAAACUCAAAGGAAUUGACGGGGCCCCGCACAAGCGGCGGAGCAUGCGGAUUAAUUCGAUGCAACGCGUAGAACCUUACCUGGGUUUGACAUGGAUCGGGAGCGCUCAGAGAUGGGUGUGCCUCUUUUGGGGUCGGUUCACAGGUGGUGCAUGGCUGUCGUCAGCUCGUGUCGUGAGAUGUUGGGUUAAGUCCCGCAACGAGCGCAACCCUUGUUCACUGUUGCCAGCACGUUAUGGUGGGGACUCAGUGGAGACCGCCGGGGUCAACUCGGAGGAAGGUGGGGAUGACGUCAAGUCAUCAUGCCCCUUAUGUCCAGGGCUUCACGCAUGCUACAAUGGCUGGUACAGAGAGUGGCGAGCCUGUGAGGGUGAGCGAAUCUCGGAAAGCCGGUCUCAGUUCGGAUUGGGGUCUGCAACUCGACCUCAUGAAGUCGGAGUCGCUAGUAAUCGCAGAUCAGCAACGCUGCGGUGAAUACGUUCCCGGGGCU